rnacentral:rRNA from 1 species
CCAAUAGCGUAUAUUAAAGUUGUUGCAGUUAAAAAGCUCGUAGUUGAAUUUCGGGAUCAAUUAAUUGGUCGUGCCUCUGGUACGUACUGAUUUUAUUGGUUUCUCCCUUCUGACGAACCAUGAUGUCAUUAAUUUGGUGUCGUGGAGAAUCAGGACUGUUACUUUGAAAAAAUUAGAGUGUUUAAAGCAAGCUAACGCUUGAAUACAUUAGCAUGGAAUAAUGAAAUAGGACGUUUGAUCCUAUUUUGUUGGUUUCUAGGAUCGACGUAAUGAUUAAUAGGGAUAGUUGGGGGCAUUAGUAUUCAAUUGUCAGAAGUGAAAUUCUUGGAUUUAUUGAAGACUAACUACUGCGAAAGCAUUUGCCAAGGAUGUUUUCACUAAUCAAGAACGAAAGUUAGGGGAUCGAAGACGAUCAGAUACCGUCGUAGUCUUAACCAUAAACUAUGCCGACUAGGGAUCGGAUGAUGUUAAUUUUUUAAUGACUCAUUCGGCGCCUUACG